AUGUAUGUCGCGGGUAGUUUGCCCAGCGAAGCUACUGACACUGCACUCACGGUGGGGGGGCCUGAAAUCUAGGGCUGCCGACGGCGAAGACAGAUAGAACAGGGGGAGAUGUUCCUGUGGUAGGGCUGAGUUUAGUCAGGGACCGGGGAACACUAGGAGUGCCAAGCUGUUCCGCUGUUCUGGUGCUGGACCGACAACUCCCCCACAGGCUCUUGCUGCAUAUGGGCCGUGUUGGACCAGCGCCACAAGCCUAGACCCCAGGGGAGGGUCUUGUUUGACUGGACACUCUUUGGCCAGUUUGAUCAACUUGUCUGCACAUUUCCUCUGGAGAUCCACAGAGGAGAAGAUCCUAUCAAAGAGUUCUUCAGCAACAUCCAUGCGGGAGGAGAGGAGCGGUAGAAGGUGUGGUGAUGAAGAUUCAGCAGCAAACUGCAGCCUUGGUGCCAAGAAUGAGUCCGACUGCUCAGAGCAGGUUGAAAGCUCAGCAAACAUAUGUUCUGUAGUAGUUCAUCACUUUAUUUGAUAAACUCACAGCCAUAUAAAUCUCUCUGAAAUCAGACAAAUGUAUGUUUUGCUCAUCGUUCCUUUUACUGUUUUUGUUAUGAUAUCAUUGUUAUUAAUGAGCCAGAUUCCUCUGUACAG